rnacentral:lncRNA from 1 species
AAGUGACUUGCCCCAGAUCAUGCAGUUGGCAGAAGCACCAGGAUAUUUUCAUUCCCAAUACACCAAACACUUGGAAAAGUAACAAAAAAAGGGUAACUGAGAGAAGAAAAGGUGGUGAAAAGAGAAAGUGAGAAGUAGAGAAAGUCAUAGUGAGGAAAUAGGUUUAAAAAAAAAAAAGCAAAUAGAGAGUUGCCAACAGUAUUCUCUGUUUCAGAACAUGCUCUUCUUGGAUGCAUGCCACACUGGAUUUUAAACUAUGAGCUUCUGGGAAACCCUAAGCCCUGGAAUGAUGUUGGCAAAACCCCUUGGGUCUCUGGGAUGGCUUUUGUUUCUUCUUAACCCUGAGAAUGGAGUCCAGGCUGGAGAGAAUCCCUAGUAGACUCCACAGCAAGAUGGAUCUUGGCCUGAAUUUCAAACCAGAGUAUUGGGAAAUGGAUGCCUUCAGGAACGUGGUUGACACAAAUCCCGAGAACCCAAG